UCCUUCCCGAUCUCUGUCCCUGUUCGUCGGCAAGAACAAGUCGUUGCCCUAACUUCGAUCUUGGAGGUAAGGGUUUGGUUUUGGUUGUGAAUUCGAACCUUGAUCCUUUCUAGUGUUGAUUCAGGUGGUUCUUUCUGGGAAGCAGAGACUGGUAUUUUGGUCCCGGCCACCACAGCUCUGUUGGAUCGAUCUCUUCUUCGUAUCAGUGAUCGUCUCCGGUGAUUGAAGGGUGCAGAGAGGAUGCGAUGUGCUUAUUUUAGAUAUUGGAUUGGGAAGUGCAGAGAAUCAAGCAAGGGUCAAGGAGUUGCUUCAUGUGGAGGAAUCAAAACUAGAGGAGGAUGAGGGAAAUACCACUCCAGCAGUGAGAUGGGUUCGAGAUGAUAAAUAUGAUUGCAUCCGAUUAAAGCAUUGCAAGGUGAGCUAUAUUCACUGUGUAUCCCCCCUUCAGAGUACAUAUGUAUCUGUAUAGUAAUUAAUUUCAAUAUAGGCACAUCAAAUUACCUUAAUUGUUUCUGGACAUAGACUUAAUCCUUUGGAUUACUUUAUUUUAAUUGGUAGAGUAUUUGCCACUACCUUUCUAUUAUUCAUUCUUUUGCUUUGCAGGUUGUGAAAAAAUUGAUUGGCAUCGGAAAGGAGACUAUUUCACUACUGUCGUUCCUAGUGAUAUCCUAAUUAUGAAUUUUAGUUGUACUUAUUUUUAGUCAUUCCUAGUGCCUAUUUUAUAUCUCAGUUUUGUUUCUUUCUUUUUUCUAAUACACACUGACAAAUUGGAAAUAU